UACACGACGUGCUACAAUGGCCGGUACAGACGGACGCAAAGCCGCGAGGUGGAGCAAAUCCCUAAAAAAGCCCGGUCUCAGUUCGGAUUGCAGGCUGCAAUUCGCCUGCAUGAAGUCGGAAUCGCUAGUAAUCGCAGGUCAGCAUACUGCGGUCGAAUACGUUCCCGGGCCUU
rnacentral:rRNA from 1 species